rnacentral:rRNA from 1 species
UACGUAGGGUCCGAGCGUUGUCCGGAAUCAUUGGGCGUAAAGAGCGUGUAGGCGGUUCGGUAAGUCGGCUGUGAAAGUCCAGGGCUCAACCCUGGGAUGCCGGUCGAUACUGCCGGACUAGAGUUCGGAAGAGGCGAGUGGAAUUCCCGGUGUAGCGGUGAAAUGCGCAGAUAUCGGGAGGAACACCUAUGGCGAAGGCAGCUCGCUGGGACGUUACUGACGCUGAGACGCGAAAGCGUGGGGAGCAAACAGG